AUACGUAGGGGGCGAGCGUUGUCCGGAAUGAUUGGGCGUAAAGGGCGCGUAGGCGGCUUUGCAAGUCAGUAGUGGAAGUCCAUUUUUCAAGGAUGGAAGUGCUACAGAAACUGCGGAGCUUGAGUGCAGGAGAGGUUAUCGGAAUUCCCGGUGUAGCGGUGAAAUGCGUAGAGAUCGGGAGGAACACCAGUGGCGAAGGCGGGUAACUGGACUGCAACUGACGCUGAGGCGCGAAAGUGUGGGGAGCAAACAGGAUUAGAUACCCUGGUAGUCCACACUGUAAACGAUGAAUACUAGGUGUAGGAGGUAUCGACUCCUCCUGUGCCGCAGCUAACGCAAUAAGUAUUCCACCUGGGGAGUACGGCCGCAAGGUUGAAACUCAAAGGAAUUGACGGGG
rnacentral:rRNA from 1 species